GCCUGAGUUUACAAAAUAUUAGAACCUGAAUAUUACAAAAUAAUAGACAAUUGGAGCCACCUUAAUAACGUUAUUACAAAAUUUCACCCAAAAACUAGAACCAAAUUUGCACAAAAGUGCCCCACUCAUUCAUAUAACAUGAAUGAACAAGCAUGAAUGGAAAUGACAGUUCUGCAAACCUCAUUCACGAUUCCAUCACCUCCAACACAGAUAAUACCUGAAAUCACAUUAGAUCAUGGAAUUGGGUAGUUAAACACAUCAGGAAAGCUGGAUCAAACAGUUAUCAAAAGGGAAAAAAAGGUAAGAGCACCAUCAAGACAUGUUCUGAAGUGUACACUGGCUGCAAGUUUCUUAGCAUGACCAGCAGAUGUUGUUUUUACCACCUUUCACAUCAAAAGAAAUAGGUUGAACGUCUGUAGUGUAGAAGAACACAUUCAAAAAUAGAUUCUCCCUACAAACGUUCAAUAACAUCAACGCUCUCUUGUGUUACAAAAAGUUGGUGUGUUUGAGAAGAUGAAAUGCACUGAUCUUCAGCCUUGUCUUCAUUUUUUGUGUUCACGACAUUUUCUUUAGAUCUACUACACUUAAGCGAAAGUGUUGAACUUGUUGGAACAUGUACAUGAUGUAAACAAUAAGUUGGUUAAAAGGCAAUUGAAUGAUUACACAUUUGAGAUAAGAGUAAUGCAGAGAUAGUAAGACCUUUUUUCGACCCUUUGAUUUUUCUGAAUUCACCUCCAACGGACUCUUUUUGCGCAACUUUUAGGGGGCACCUUUUCUUUUUGUAAGCUUCGGGUCCAAAAUGUAGAUGCUUUCAUCAUUUUGAGCUUCAGGUUUGUGCACAACCGAGUUACCAAAAUUCGAUUUAGAUAAUUGGUUUGUUUGGGAUUCAAUCCACCCCAAUAGAUGAUUGGACUGUUCUUUAUUUGGCGCUAUCAAGUCUACCAUCUUUGUAAAAGCAAGACACAACCUCUCGUACCUUAAUUGCUUAGCUGUACAAACCAAACCAUCGUAUGUCGUUGGGAACGGCACAUAUGGUCGACUAACA
rnacentral:lncRNA from 1 species